rnacentral:rRNA from 1 species
UACGUAGGGUGCAAGCGUUGUCCGGAAUUAUUGGGCGUAAAGAGCUCGUAGGCGGUUUGUCGCGUCUGCUGUGAAAACCCGAGGCUCAACCUCGGGCCUGCAGUGGGUACGGGCAGACUAGAGUGCGGUAGGGGAGAUUGGAAUUCCUGGUGUAGCGGUGGAAUGCGCAGAUAUCUGGAGGAACACCGGUGGCGAAGGCGGCAUCCUGGACCGGCAUUGACGCUGAGGCGCGAAAGCCAGGGGAGCAAACGGG